UAUGCCUGGCCUUAUAAUCCUAAUAAAAGCCCAUGGCUGAGGAGGGCACAACUCCUAGUGUAGAAGAUUUUGUUAUAAAUUUUAGUAAAUGCUCAUACUGUCUAAAUAUGCAUCUUUGUUUCUUUUGUUGCUUUCUUAGUUCUUUCUUUUUGUUUUGUUAUGGUUUGUUUUAUUUGAGACAGGAUUUCUCUGUUGGCAGUCCUGGAACUUGCUUUAUAGACCAGGCUGGCCUUGAACUCACAGAGAUCCACCUGCCUCUGCCUUCCAAAUGCUGAGAUUAAAGGCAUGCAUUACCAUACCCUGCUCAAACUGUUUUGUUUGUAUCCAGAGAAUAGAGAUAAUCUCAACCUUGAUUGGAUAAGUUUCUUCUUGCAGCACUGAGAAUAAGCUUAGCCUUAAAUGGGAUGUAUGUUUUACUUUCCUUACCCAAGGCUCAGAGAUUAUCUCAGAAGAGGCAGAAAAAAUAUAAAAGCUGGAGAAUAGGAUCAUGGUGAAAUUUGAACUUCAGGAUUAACACUUGUGAUCUCACAGUGACUGUGGUUACAUGAUUAGCACAAAAUAAAAAAAAAACAGGAGGCUGUGCCAUUUUGAGGGGGCUGGGUUAGGAUUGGUUAGGGUUUGGGAGGAGUUGGAGGUGGUAAAUAUAGGUGUUUGUGAUCCUGUUUAGUUGUAUAUCCAUAUAAAAUUCUCAAGAAUACAGAAAUAUUAAUAUAAAAAACUCAGCACCAAGCAUGAGAAAUCGCUUUUCAGGUUAUUGCUUAAGUAGAUCCAAGAGACUCUGAAACCAAUACAGGCCAUUGCUGUUGCUCUGGCUUGUCUCCCAGAGGUUGAAGGUAAGUUCCUAUUGCAGAAGAUAACAUGCACUUCACACAUGGGAUUUGUAAGAGUCGAGCUGGAUCUAACUUGAAAAUCCUGUCUCUGAAGACUAGCUUUCAUAGUACCAGAUGGUGCUCUACAAACUGAUAAGUGAAGGAAGCAAUCAGUGUCAUAACCAGCUGUGAUGUCUAUGAGCCACAACAGUGACCAGCAUGGCAAGACAUUCCUAACAGUGCAAUAAUAACAUUCAUAUCUUGGUGCUGACAAAUUGGACUCAAGGCUUACUCAAUAGGAGGUAAAUUAUGCUAGGUAUAGGACACCUAGCCAACUUCCUCAGACUAGUGAGAUCUACCCACUGCCACUACUUUAUUAGACCAGCAUAUAAUUGUAUUCUUGGUACUUAUUUUUAUAUCCACAAAUAAGUAUAGCUCUCAAAGAAUCUUCUUUACAGCAGACUGUGGUUAUCACAGAAAAGAGUAACUGGUCAAGAUACAGAGGGUAAUUAAGUGAUCAUGAGGUACACAACCCCAAAGGAUACCUCUACGAGACAACUCCUGUACCUAAGGCUCAGGGAACAGUACCAUAAACUAGGAUGUUUGCUGUGAUUGUCACCUAGAAAUGACAGGGAAGCUAUACCCAUGUUACAGUAACAAGACAGCUGCCUAACUAAAACCCAAACAGUGACAAAAAUCAGUGGACAUUCUAAAGUGCAAGAAGAAAAUACCAUAGUGCCACACACAUGUACUGAAAACUAAACAGUGCUGAGAGAUGGAGAAUUAGUUUUGUUGAGGGAUGAGCCCUCUAUUUUGUAAUCUAAUAACUAGUGGACAGCACAAAUCACAUAUAUACAAACAAUGCCAAAUAGACUCAGCUGGUAAUAUCUGUAUGUAUAUGUAUGUAUAUGUGUAUAUGUUUAUAUGUAUGUAAAUAGGUAUAUAUGUAUUAUAUGCAUGUAUCUAUGUAUAUGUAUACUCAUGUGUAUACAUGCAUGUAUAUACACAUGUAUAUGUGUGUGCAUAUGUAUAUACAUAUGUAUGCAUAUACAUAUAUGUAUACAUGUAUGUACAUGUAUAUACAUGUUUAUAUGUUAUAUAUGUAUAUAUCUAUGUAUUUAUGUAUACUUAUAUCUAUGUAUAUAUAUUGUGCAUAUAUGUAUAUAUGAUGUACACAUGUAUAUAUAAUAAUGAUAAGUAAAAACAUGAAUGAAUUUGAGAAGGAAUAAGGGGGAGACCUGAGAAGGAUUGAAGGGACAGUAUAUGGGAGGGACUGGAGGGAAGAAAGGAAGAGGGAAAUGAUGCAAUUCUAUUUUAAUUAGAAUAAAAGUAAAAGGUAAUUGGUUAUAUUCUUUUAGAUGUUGAGAUAUGUGAAUUCCUCAUAUAUUCUGGGUACUAGUUAUGUUUUAUAAAUAUGUCUUCUCAUCCUAUGGAUUUCCUUUACAUUCUCCUUUGUUUCCUUUCAAAAAUAAUUGUACUCAUUAAAAAACAUUUUAAC
rnacentral:lncRNA from 1 species